rnacentral:rRNA from 1 species
AUACGAAGGGGGCUAGCGUUGUUCGGAAUCACUGGGCGUAAAGCGCGCGUAGGUGGAUCAAUUAGUUGAGGGUGAAAUCCCGGGGCUCAACCUCGGAACUGCCUUCAAUACUGUUGAUCUUGAGGCCGAGAGAGGUGAGUGGAAUUCCUAGUGUAGAGGUGAAAUUCGUAGAUAUUAGGAAGACCACCAGUGGAGAAGGCGGCUCACUGGCUCGGUACUGACGCUGAGGUGCGAAAGCGUGGGGAGCAAACAGGAUUAGAAACCCUAGUAGUCC